GAUACAACUGCCCAGUACUUUUGCUAGGAGAAGACAUUCUGAUGAGAGCAACUUAAGGAGAAAAACUUACAAAUCCUUUCAAGGUUCCAGUCUCUGAAGACAGGGGAAUCACACCCACAGGAGCCUCAGACAUCUGGUCAUGUCCCAUCUACACCCGGAAGCAGAGAAUGAUAAAUGCCUGUGGCGUUUGAAUGUAUGUGCACCAAGGGCAAGCAGUACCCACAUGGACCAGAAGAGGGCAUCAGUCCCCUGGAACUAGGACCUUAACCCACGUCCUCUGUGAGAGGACAUGGAGAAACAGUGACAUCUACUGUGUGCAGCAUGAAUUUCAUCAUUUCUUUCUCUGAAAACAUUAAGGAAGUCUUAAAGGCCUACAAUUCUACAAGAAUUUAUAUAGAGAGC